rnacentral:rRNA from 1 species
GAUGAACGCUGGCGGCGUGCCUAAUACAUGCAAGUCGAGCGAACCUCUUCGGAGGUUAGCGGCGGACGGGUGAGUAACACGUGGGCAACCUACCUUGUAGAUGGGGAUAACAUCGAGAAAUCGGUGCUAAUACCGAAUAACACUUUUCUCCACAUGGAGAAAAGUUAAAAGUUGGCUUUUGCUAACACUACAAGAUGGGCCCGCGGCGCAUUAGCUAGUUGGUGAGGUAACGGCUCACCAAGGCGACGAUGCGUAGCCGACCUGAGAGGGUGAUCGGCCACGCUGGGACUGAGACACGGCCCAGACUCCUACGGGAGGCAGCAGUAGGGAAUCUUCCGCAAUGGACGAAAGUCUGACGGAGCAACGCCGCGUGAGUGAUGAAGGCCUUCGGGUCGUAAAACUCUGUUGUUAGGGAAGAAUAAGUACCGUUCGAAUAGGGCGGUACCGUGACGGUACCUAACCAGAAAGCCACGGCUAACUACGUGCCAGCAGCCGCGGUAA